rnacentral:rRNA from 1 species
AUGAGUGGCGAACGGGUGAGUAACACGUGAGUAACCUGCCCCUGACUUCGGGAUAAGCCCGGGAAACUGGGUCUAAUACCGGAUACGACUGCCGGACGCAUGUCUGGUGGUGGAAAGUUUUUUCGGUUGGGGAUGGGCUCGCGGCCUAUCAGUUUGUUGGUGAGGUAAUGGCUCACCAAGACGACGACGGGUAGCCGGCCUGAGAGGGCGACCGGCCACACUGGGACUGAGACACGGCCCAGACUCCUACGGGAGGCAGCAGUGGGGAAUAUUGCACAAUGGGGGAAACCCUGAUGCAGCGACGCAGCGUGCGGGAUGACGGCCUUCGGGUUGUAAACCGCUUUCAGCAGGGAAGAAGCGCAAGUGACGGUACCUGCAGAAGAAGUACCGGCUAACUACGUGCCAGCAGCCGCGGUAAUACGUAGGGUACGAGCGUUGUCCGGAAUUAUUGGGCGUAAAGAGCUCGUAGGUGGUUGGUCACGUCUGCUGUGGAAACGCAACGCUUAACGUUGCGCGUGCAGUGGGUACGGGCUGACUAGAGUGCAGUAGGGGAGUCUGGAAUUCCUGGUGUAGCGGUGAAAUGCGCAGAUAUCAGGAGGAACACCGGUGGCGAAGGCGGGACUCUGGGCUGUAACUGACACUGAGGAGCGAAAGCAUCGGGAGGGAACAGCAUUAGAUACCCUGGUAGUACAUCCCGUAAACAUUGGUCAGUAGGUGUGGGGGGCAUUCCACCUUGUUCGCGCCGUAGUUAACGCAUUAAGUACCCCGCCUGGGGAGUACGGUCGCAAGAAUAAAAAUCAAAGGAAUAAUCGGGGGCCCGCACAACAGGCGGAGCAUCAGGAUUAAUUAGAUGCAACGCGAAGAACCUUAUCAAGGCUUGACAUACACCGGACCGUCCUGGAAACAGCUCCUCUUCUUUGAAGAAGGUGUACAGCUGGUGCAUCGUUGUUGUCAGCUCGUGUCGUGAGAUGAUGGGUUAAUUCCCGCAACGAGCGCAACCCUCGUUGUAUUUUGCCAGCAGCUGAUGGUGGGAACUCAUAGGAGACUGCCGGGGUCAACUCGGAGGAAGGUGGGGAUGACGUCAAAUCAUCAUCCCCUUUAUUUUGUGGGCUUCACGCAUCAUACAACAAUGGGUACAGAGAGAGGCGAACCCGUGAGGGCAACCGAAUCCCUUAAAGCCAGUAUCAGUUCGGAUGAUAGUAGUCAAUUAUUCGACGUGAAGUCGGAGUCGCUAGUAAUCGCAGAUCAUCAACAACGCGGUGAAUACGUUCCCGGGCCUUGUUCACACCGCCCGUCAAGUCGUCAAAGUCGGUAACACCAGAAGCCGGUGGCCUAAUCC